rnacentral:lncRNA from 1 species
CUCCAGCUGUUUCUCAGGCUGAGUUCUGUCCCUGUCCCCACACAGAACACAGGACAGAGGGAGGCUCUUAGGAUGUUGUGCUCCGCGGGGCUCAGACGAAAUCUUCUGUGAAUGGAAGAAAUGCUUCCAAGCAAACAGCCACUACCAGAACAACUGUGUGACCAGGAGAAAGAGGCCAGAGCACGAGUUCUCAAACCCUGAAGUCGCAGGAGCCCGAGGGGGAUAUUGGAGAGAAGGUAUUUCCAGUCACGCGCAGUAACAGACCAGCCAAGGACCAGGACUGGAGUUCUGUUCUACAACGGUGAACAGUGAAGGUCUCCAAAGGUAGGGACUCAUGUCUCCAAAAGAGGGCUAGUGGCCACCAGCGGGGCGGGGUCAGGGGAGGAUGCUAGGAUGGCGGUCCCCAGGCUUUGGACAUGUGAGUG